rnacentral:rRNA from 1 species
AUUGAACGCUGGCGGCAUGCUUUACACAUGCAAGUCGAACGGCAGCGCGGGCUUCGGCCUGGCGGCGAGUGGCGAACGGGUGAGUAAUGCAUCGGAACGUGCCCAGUAGUGGGGGAUAGCCCGGCGAAAGCCGGAUUAAUACCGCAUACGACCUGAGGGUGAAAGCGGGGGACCGAAAGGCCUCGCGCUAUUGGAGCGGCCGAUGUCGGAUUAGCUAGUUGGUGGGGUAAAGGCUUACCAAGGCGACGAUCCGUAGCUGGUCUGAGAGGACGACCAGCCACACUGUGGCUGGGGCACGGCCCAAACUCCUACGGGAGGCAGGAGUGGGGAAUUUUGGACAAUGGGGGCAACCCUGGUCCAGCCAUGCCGCGUGCGGGAAGAAGGCCUUCGGGUUGUAAACCGCUUUUGUUCGGGAAGAAAUCCUCUGAGCUAAUACCCCGGGGGGAUGACGGUACCGGAAGAAUAAGCACCGGCUAACUACGUG